rnacentral:rRNA from 1 species
AUUGAACGCUGGCGGCAUGCCUUACACAUGCAAGUCGAACGGCAGCACGGGUGCUUGCACCUGGUGGCGAGUGGCGAACGGGUGAGUAAUACAUCGGAACAUGUCCUGUAGUGGGGGAUAGCCCGGCGAAAGCCGGAUUAAUACCGCAUACGAUCUACGGAUGAAAGCGGGGGACCUUCGGGCCUCGCGCUAUAGGGUUGGCCGAUGGCUGAUUAGCUAGUUGGUGGGGUAAAGGCCUACCAAGGCGACGAUCAGUAGCUGGUCUGAGAGGACGACCAGCCACACUGGGACUGAGACACGGCCCAGACUCCUACGGGAGGCAGCAGUGGGGAAUUUUGGACAAUGGGCGAAAGCCUGAUCCAGCAAUGCCGCGUGUGUGAAGAAGGCCUUCGGGUUGUAAAGCAAUUUUGUCCGGAAAGAAAUCCUUGGCCCUAAUACGGUCGGGGGAUGACGGUACCGGAAGAAGAAGCACCGGCUAACUACGU